UGAGUACUCCCUCCGUCUGAAAAAGCUUGUCCCAACCUUGUUCCUCAAAUGGAUGAAUCUAGCCGCACCAAAUUAGUGCUAGAUUCAUCCAUUUGAGGAACAAGGUUGGGACAAGCUUUUUCAGACGGAGGGAGUAGGAU
rfam:Triticum aestivum genome assembly, contig: Triticum_aestivum_CS42_TGACv1_scaffold_157900_2DL